rnacentral:rRNA from 1 species
AUGAACGCUGGCGGCGUGCUUAACACAUGCAAGUCGAACGAUGAAGCCCAGCUUGCUGGGUGGAUUAGUGGCGAACGGGUGAGUAACACGUGAGUAACCUGCCCUUGACUCUGGGAUAAGCCUGGGAAACUGGGUCUAAUACUGGAUAUGACUUCUCAUCGUAUGGUGGGGGGUGGAAAGAUUUAUUGGUCUUGGAUGGACUCGCGGCCUAUCAGCUUGUUGGUGAGGUAAUGGCUCACCAAGGCGACGACGGGUAGCCGGCCUGAGAGGGUGACCGGCCACACUGGGACUGAGACACGGCCCAGACUCCUACGGGAGGCAGCAGUGGGGAAUAUUGCACAAUGGGCGCAAGCCUGAUGCAGCGACGCCGCGUGAGGGAUGACGGCCUUCGGGUUGUAAACCUCUUUCAGUAGGGAAGAAGCGAGAGUGACGGUACCUGCAGAAGAAGCGCCGGCUAACUACGUG